GACGAACGCUGGCGGCGUGCUUAACACAUGCAAGUCGAACGGAAAGGCCCUGCUUUUGUGGGGUGCUCGAGUGGCGAACGGGUGAGUAACACGUGAGUAACCUGCCCUUGACUUUGGGAUAACUUCAGGAAACUGGGGCUAAUACCGGAUAGGAGCUCCUGCUGCAUGGUGGGGGUUGGAAAGUUUCGGCGGUUGGGGAUGGACUCGCGGCUUAUCAGCUUGUUGGUGGGGUAGUGGCUUACCAAGGCUUUGACGGGUAGCCGGCCUGAGAGGGUGACCGGCCACAUUGGGACUGAGAGACGGCCCAGACUCCUACGGGAGGCAGCAGUGGGGAAGAUUGCACAAUGGGCGGAAGCCUGAUGCAGCAACGCCGCGUGCGGGAUGACGGCCUUCGGGUUGUAAACCGCUUUCGCCUGUGACGAAGCGUGAGUGACGGUAAUGGGUAAAGAAGCACCGGCUAACUACGUGC
rnacentral:rRNA from 1 species